rfam:Felis catus isolate Cinnamon breed Abyssinian chromosome B4, whole genome shotgun sequence.
GCCUGGGUGGCUCAGUCGGUUAAGCGUCUGACUCUUGAUUUUGGCUCAGGUCAUGAUCUCACAGUGCAUGGGUUCGAGCCCCACUUCGGGCU